rnacentral:rRNA from 1 species
GACGAACGCUGGCGGCGUGCUUAACACAUGCAAGUCGAACGGAAAGGCCCUGCUUUUGUGGGGUGCUCGAUUGGCGAACGGGUGAGUAACACGUGUGUAACCUGCCCUUGUCUUUGGGAUAACUUCAGGAAACUGGGGCUAAUACCGGAUAGGAGCUCCUGCUGCAUGGUGGGGGUUGGAAAGUUUCGGCGGUUGGGGCUGGACUCGCGGCUUAUCAGCUUGUUUGUGGGGUAGUGGCUUACCAAGGCUUCGACGGGUAGCCGGCCUGAGAGGGUGACCGGCCACAUUGGGACUGAGAUACGGCCCAGACUCCUACGGGAGGCAGCAGUGGGGAAUAUUGCACAAUGGGCGGAAGCCUGAUGCAGCAACGCCGCGUGCGGGAUGACGGCCUUCGGGUUGUAAACCGCUUUCGCCUGUGACGAAGCGUGAGUGACGGUAAUGGGUAAAGAAGCACCGGCUAACUACGUG